rnacentral:rRNA from 1 species
AGAGGUCCUGCCUGCCCUGUGAUAUAUAUUUAACGGCCGCGGUAUUUUGACCGUGCAAAGGUAGCGCAAUCACUUGUCCUUUAAAUGAAGACCUGUAUGAAUGGCAUGACGAGGGCUUAACUGUCUCCUUUUUCCAGUCAAUGAAAUUGAUCUUCCCGUGCAGAAGCGGGAAUACAACCAUAAGACGAGAAGACCCUAUGGAGCUUUAAACAAAAAUAGAUCUUGUUAAACAUAUCUUAAUUAAAGAAGUGAACCGAAAGAACCCUAUCAUUNAUGUUUUUGGUUGGGGCGACCGCGGGGAAACAAACAACCCCCAUGUGGACUAAGAAAACAUUUCUCACAAUAAAGAGCCACAGCUCUAAUUAACAGAAUUUCUGACCUANUAGAUCCGGCAAUGCCGAUCAACGGACCGAGUUACCCUAGGGAUAACAGCGCAAUCCUCUUUAAGAGUUCAUAUCGACAAGAGGGUUUACGACCUCGAUGUUGGAUCAGGACACCCUAAUGGUGCAGCAGCUAUUAAGGG